GAUUUUAUGGGAUCACAUCGAGCAUCAGACUCUCCCACAGUACUGAGCAGGACGCCAGCCCUGCAGGAGCCAUAUGGAGCCGGCCGUGCUGCCUGGCUUCUCCUAUGGUGCGAAUUGGAGCGGUUUUGGAGCUGCUCCCCCAUGCUGGCAGCCCUCUGGGGGGAUCCCAUGCUUGAGGACUCCUCCACGUGCCCUGGGCUCAGCCCCUCUUGGGCAGAUGUCUGCUGAUGGAGGGACCCCAAGGAGCUGCACCCCGACUGACAGGUGCAGGAGGAGCAGGGAAAUCUCCACCAGCAUUUCUGGGCACUCUCAGAAUUUAUUGAGACAACUCCUGUGGGAUGCUACAUCAUGUCAUCCAAGUCUUCCCUAUUGACUCUCUUCUGCCGCCGCUGAGUGAAGAAAUAUGAUAGCAGGAGGGAUAAUGAAGCCGACGUUUUCUUCAAGUCAAACUGAUUCUCUCCUAAGAUGGGAUAAAAGGCCUGGGAAGUGAGAGGACGGCGUUCUGCAUCGAUAACCGUUUCCUUCCUGCAACGCGCCGCUUCCAUGAGACCUCCCAAACUCCUCAGCCUCGGGCCCCAGGAGAUGCUGUUGCUUUGGAGUUAGGGUUCAUCCUGGAUGCAGUCCCACCGCCCUGCCAGUGGGCUUUCCUCUGCUCCCUGCAGCUCUGCUGGGUCUGAUCCGCUCGGGGCAGCUCUGAUGCUGAUGAUGAACAGCUGGGAGAAAGCAAUCUCAGUGCCACCUCUCCUGCACCACUUCCAGCAUCGUCAGUGGGGAAAAGGGGAAAACUAGCAGCUGUGCUCUGCUGUGCCGCUCAUCAGCUGCAGUGUGAGGGCAGGAAGGGGCCGUGGGACGCCGGGCUGUGAGGGGAGCAGCGCUUCGCCCCGCUCCAGUGUUCCUAUUGCCAACAGCCAACAGCUGUCAGGCAGCUGCUGCACUGAAAUGCCAAAGCCCCGCUGGGUGCCAAGCGCUGGGAGCAGGAUGGGGCUGCAGGGCAGUGGCUUUCUGAAGUCCCAAUGGAUAUUCACAGAAUCCACGGAGGGAACAUCCUCAGCAAAGGCAUUCACCAAAUGUCACAUCUCCCCGGCAGCCCUAAAUAACGCCGUAACC